rnacentral:rRNA from 1 species
GACGAACGCUGGCGGCGUGCUUAACACAUGCAAGUCGAACGGAAAGGCCCUGCUUUUGUGGGGUGCUCGAGUGGCGAACGGGUGAGUAACACGUGAGUAACCUGCCCUUGACUUUGGGAUAACUUCAGGAAACUGGGGCUAAUACCGGAUAGGAGCUCCUGCUGCAUGGUGGGGGUUGGAAAGUUUCGGCGGUUGGGGAUGGACUCGCGGCUUAUCAGCUUGUUGGUGGGGUAGUGGCUUACCAAGGCUUCGACGGGUAGCCGGCCUGAGAGGGUGACCGGCCACAUUGGGACUGAGGUACGGCGCAGACUCCUACGGGAGGCAGCAGUGGGGAAUAUUACACAAUGGGCGGAAGCCUGAUGCAGCAACGCCGCGUGCGGGAUGACGGCCUUCGGGUUGUAAACCACUUUCGCCUGUGACGAAGCGUGAGUGACGGUAAUGGGUAAAGAAGCACCGGCUAACUACGUG